rnacentral:rRNA from 1 species
UACGAAGGGGGCUAGCGUUGCUCGGAAUCACUGGGCGUAAAGGGUGCGUAGGCGGGUUUUUAAGGCAGAGGUGAAAUCCUGGAGCUCAACUCCAGAACUGCCUUUGAUACUGAAAGUCUUGAGUAUGGGAGAGGUGAGUGGAACUGCGAGUGUAGAGGUGAAAUUCGUAGAUAUUCGCAAGAACACCAGUGGCGAAGGCGGCUCACUGGCCCAUUACUGACGCUGAGGCACGAAAGCGUGGGGAGCAAACAGG